GACGAACGCUGGCGGCGUGCUUAACACAUGCAAGUCGAACGAGACGAUUGAAAGCUUGCUUUCGAAAGUCGAGUGGCAAACGGGUGAGUAACGCGUAGACAACCUGCCUUUGAGAUGGGGACAACAGUUCGAAAGGACUGCUAAUACCGAAUGUUGUAUAUUUUCCACAUGAGAGAUAUAUUAAAGAUGGCCUCUAUUUAUAAGCUAUCGCUCAAAGAUGGGUCUGCGUCUGAUUAGCUAGUUGGUGGGGUAACGGCCUACCAAGGCGACGAUCAGUAGCCGGUCUGAGAGGAUGAACGGCCACAUUGGGACUGAGACACGGCCCAGACUCCUACGGGAGGCAGCAGUGGGGAAUCUUCCACAAUGGACGAAAGUCUGAUGGAGCAACGCCGCGUGAGUGAAGAAGGGUUUCGGCUCGUAAAGCUCGGUUGUCGGGGACGAAUGUGCAUUACUUGAAUAAAGUAGUGUAAUGACGGUACCUGACGAGGAAGCCACGGCUAACUACGAGCCAGCAGCCGCAGUAA
rnacentral:rRNA from 1 species